GGUGUAGGGACUCAGCACUGCUGUCUGCCUCCAGAGCUGAGCUGUUCAGCAUCACUCUGUUUCCUAUCCAGGCAGCACUGCUGUCACCCAUCACCU
rnacentral:miRNA from 12 species